GACGAACGCUGGCGGCGUGCCUAAUACAUGCAAGUCGAACGCAGUGGGGACGGGUGAGUAACACGUGGGUAACCUCCCAUCAGAGGGGAUAACACUUGGAAACAGGUGCUAAACCGAUACUGAUGGAUGGACCCGCGGUGCAUUAGCUAGUUGGUGAGGUAACGGCUCACCAAGGCCACGAUGCAUAGCCGCCCUACGAGAGAGCUAGGCCCCUCUGGGCCUGGAGCGCGGCCCGUACUCCUGCGAGAGGCAGCAGGAGGAGAUGUUCGGCCGUGGACGAAGGUCUGACCGGGCCACGCCGCGUGAGUACAGAAGGUUUUCGGUUCGUGGAACUCUGUUGUUAGAGGAGCGGUAUCUAACCAGAAAGCCACGGCUAACUACGUGCCAGCAGCCGCGGUAAUUC
rnacentral:rRNA from 1 species